rnacentral:rRNA from 1 species
UACGUAGGGGGCAAGCGUUGUCCGGAUUUAUUGGGCGUAAAGAGCUCGUAGGCGGUCUGUUACGUCUGCUGUGAAAACCCGGGGCGUUAACCCUGGGCUUGCAGUGGAUACGGGCAGACUAGAGGCAGGUAGGGGGAGAAUGGAAUUCCCGGUGUAGCGGUGAAAUGCGCAGAUAUCAGGAGGAACACCGGUGGCGAAGGCGGUUCUCUGGAAUAUCCUGACGCUGAGGGAGCGAAAGUGUGGGGGAGCGAACAGG